UCGAAGUGUGACUCCCAAUCGGAUUUUUAGUCGACCAGUCUAUCAUGGUAUUGGAAUGUCUUGAGGAUAUUCUUCAUGGCAUCAUGGCAAUAGAUUGUGUACUCCUUCCUAAAAAUAGGUUUGGCCUUUACUUUAGCACCAAUCUAUCACUGUUGAUCCCGACUUAGGCUAGAUUAGCUAGAGUGAGGCAGCAUUCGACUA
rnacentral:lncRNA from 1 species